GAGCAUAUACAUAGCAGGUCUUAUUAAUUUUGACAAUGUUAAAGGCACAUGCAAAAUGUUCGAUGAAAUGUCUUAACAGAUAAAAACACUUGUCACAAAUUUCUUUAUGUUGUUAUUUUUCUAAUCUAUCCACCAUGUCAUGAAAAUUCACUAUAACAUGAUAAAAGGGUGGGAUAGACUUUUAUGUAACUGAAAGCUUUUAUAAUUUGUCUACACUCUUAUAUUUUUGUAGUUGGUGUUCCUCAGGUUCUAGGCCUGGUGAAGGGGGUAUUACUCUGAAUUAUGACUCCUAUUCAGCAUAUGGAUAGGUUUUAGGUGUGAUGUUAGCAUCACGUGCCUCAAAACUUGUUUUCAUUACUAACUUUCAUGCUUCUCAUACCUCCUAUCCCUUUGCACACCAAAAAACAUCUUUACUAGUUAAAAUUGUAACUAAUCUCACUUGUUGCAACGCUUGAUAUAUGAGAUAAGGUUGAUGACAAGUUGCUUAAGUUUCUCUAUGGGACACGUUGUGUUGAAGCCUCAACACGGAAUUCCGAGAGGCUUUUGGCCGCAGAUUUUAAUGAACCAACACGGCAUGUCGAGGUGCCUCAACUUGGCAUGUUGGCAGCUGGGAAGAAAACCCUAAUUUUUAGGGUGUUGCAUCCUAUUUAAAGGCCUUAAGUCCCUUUGGUUGACCUCCUUAUCAGCCUCCAUUGUUGUCAAAACCGUAAAUCGUGUUGUAGCCUCCAUUGUCAAUAAUUUGAGCCUUGGAAGAAAUUUUGGUGUUUAUUUUGUGCAUUGUGAAGGAGCUAGAAGAUCUUGAAGUUUCUAAGCUUGGAGAAGGAAGUCUUGGAUCUAGAACCACUACCCAUUUUGCAAGGAUUUUGAAGUAUCAAGUUCUUAUCUUGAUUGCUAAAUGCUUAGAUCUCUCUUUUGGGUUAAAUUGUUAUGUUUUUGCCAUGGGUUAGAAGGAUGUUGAGAUUAGGACGCUCCAAAGCCUUAUUCUUUCAGAUAUGGGGUUUUCAUGGACUCUUUUGGCAUAAAGGAGCCAACUUUAUGGAUUUAAGGGCUUCAUGCAUUCAUUAAGUCCCAUAUUAAGCCCUUCUUGAGCAUUUAAGCUUCUCCUAGGCAUGCAUGAAUGUAAAGUUGGCUACUUUACAUGGUUUUCUAGCUCUAGGGUGUCAGGUUUGCAUUUUGGGGUUUUGUCUUUGAAGAUUAAGUGCUUAAUGGUUAAUCCCUCACUCUUUUUAAGUCUAGGGUUUGGGUUUGGACCCAUUUCAGUGGUUCCUAGGAGUAAAGUUGGAAACUUUAUCUGUUCUGACAUGUUCGCAGAUGUUAUGGAUGUUGAAGGAUGGAUCUGACUUGGGUGCUUGCCUGAGAACACAAUCACAGAAGAACCGUUAGAGGGCGACCGGGUGUUCUCCAGGUACGUCGCUCCAACGAUCAAGUUAGUCUAGGGUGAGAGAGAAAUCUUAGGGUAAUCUUCGUGAGAAAGAAUAUGGAUCCCUCCCUUGAGAUGGAAGAGAUCCUUUUAUACCUGUUACUCACGGACCGUAGGAAUGUAUUUCAUUAAAAAGACUCGCGAUGUCAUGUUCGAUACAGAUCAAAUGCAUAAACAGUACAAUAUAAGUCUUACUACAUUAUUUCAUAUCUACAGGCCUAUAUCCGUAAUCCCUCAUCCAAAACAUCACAUCUAUGCUCGAGCGCCACUACCUGUAAUACAUGAAACUGGAGUGGAUCAGGCUUGGGAGCCUGGUGAGCAUAUAAGGUUUUCAACCCACAAAUAAUAAUAAAUUUAUUAAUUUCAUCGACCAACAAUAAAUUUAUUAAUUUCAUCAACCAACGUAACCCUGAUUACCCAUUCCCCUUAUCCUCACUUUACGUCCCUAAACACCUAUACAAGGGACCUAAUAUCGGGAUGGACUUUACUGCUAAGGGGAUUCCUCAGCCAUAUAUGUCCGUAAGGCAACCAUGAGGGGGAUGGAGUACACCGGUGAACAUCAAGCCCACAAACACCUACAGGUUGCGAGUCUGCUAGCGUUCCACAUGACUCUCUAGAAAAGUUUGUGGUCAUCAUCCAUACUCCGCUAAAUGACUGGAACAACAACAUCGAGACCUCUCAUCAUUUUAACACACAUCAACUAUUUCAUCUAUCCACGUUUUACACAACAUAUUUAUAGAUAAAAAAUAUAUAUAUAUACAGUUUAAAACUUGUAUAAAACAUCUAUCUCAAAUAAACAAACAAACAAACAAUAUAUAUAUAUAUAUAUANUAUAUAUAUAUCACGUAUUUUAUAGAAAAUAAUUCAUAUUUAUGUGUAAGAUGAAAAUGACUAUACACUCACCUCUAGAUCGUUCGAAAUUUUAAUCGUAGACUUGUAACACUUUAAGCUAUCUAUAAUUGAUUCCACGUUAAUUUUUUUCUAAUGUUACAAAA
rnacentral:lncRNA from 1 species